UACGAAGGGUGCAAGCGUUACUCGGAAUCACUGGGCGUAAAGCGUGCGUAGGCGGUUCGUUAAGUCUGCUGUGAAAGCCCUGGGCUCAACCUGGGAACUGCAGUGGAUACUGGCGGACUAGAGUGUGAUAGAGGAUGGUGGAAUUCCCGGUGUAGCGGUGAAAUGCGUAGAGAUCGGAAGGAACACCAGUGGCGAAGGCGGCCAUCUGGAUCAACACUGACGCUGAGGCACGAAAGCGUGGGGAGCAAACAGG
rnacentral:rRNA from 1 species